ensembl:ncRNA C18C4.17 ncRNA
CUUCGGUCCGGAGAUUAUGGGUUAUCAAUUUGACAAUUUCCUGCCAGCAGGAAGCCCUGGUACCAGGGUUUGGUACCGCUCAUGUUAAUCUCUCCGUGUUCUUCAUAGAAUACAAACCCCUUCCCAUAAUCACCAACUUGACCGUUGUUUUU